rnacentral:lncRNA from 1 species
GCUCUAGUUUCUUUAAUAUAGAAAGAGGGGUUCGUCAAGGGGAUCCUUUAUCCCCUUAUCUUUUUAUACUGGCUUUGGAACUUAUGAGUGCAGCAAUGAAAAAUAACCCAGAUAUUAAUGGUAUUAAGAUAGAUAACUCUGAAUAUUUGCUUAGUCAGUAUGCAGAUGACUCAACCUUAACUUUGGAUGAUGAUGAAAAAUCGUUAGAACAAUCUCUAUAUAUUUUAGAAAAAUUCUCUGAGUGUUCUGGUUUACGAG